GGGGUCGUAGCUCAGUUGGGAGAGCGUCGCGUUCGCAAUGCGAAGGUCGUGGGUUCGACUCCCAUCGACUCCA
rnacentral:tRNA from 1 species